AAAGGAUUUAAGUUAAUAAAACUAAUAGCCUUCAAAGCUGUAAAUAUAAAUUUAAAUUUUUUA
rnacentral:tRNA from 1 species